CUACGGGAUGCUCCAGUCGAGAAUAGUCUACAAUGGACGAAAGUCUGAUAGUGCGACGCCGCGUGGAUGAAGAAGCAUUUCGGUGUGUAAAGUCCUUUUCUGUGUGAGCAAUGUUUUCCAGGUUAAUAGCUUGGAGAAAGCGAUAUUAACACAGGAAUAAGCUCCGGCUAACUCCGUGCUAGCAGCCGCGGUAACACGGGGGAGCAAGCGUUGUCCGGAAUUACUAGGCGUAAAGGGUAAGUAGGCGGAAUUGUAAGUCAGAUGUUAAAGGCACCGGCUCAACCGGUGUAUGGCAUUUGAUACUGUAAUUCUAGAGUAAGGUGGGGGAAGACGGAAUUCCUGGUGUAGCGGUGGAAUACGCAGAUAUCAGGAGGAGCACCAGAGGCGCAGGCGGUCUUCUAUACCAUUACUGACGCUCAAUUACGAAGGUGUGGGUAUCAAACAGGAUUAGAUACCCGCGUAGUC
rnacentral:rRNA from 1 species